CGCGAGUCCUAAACCUCCUCGGGUCGGUUUAUUUGGCUAUUCUGCACAGUGGGUGGCCGGUAAUGCAACACUAAAGAUAAUUUGACUGAUAUUUGCGCCAACAGACGCACAAAGACUGAGCCUUGUUCUGUGGAUAAACUUCACCUAUGGUCGUAGCAGGUCUGGGGAGCACAGCGAGAUACAAGUACUUUCAAUGGCAAAGACUUGAAGUGCUGUCGAGCCCCAGCUGCUGCAGGAUCGCCCUGACCUGCAGCAGCGCCAGACGAUCGCUGUGGAGCAGGAAGGGCGGGGGCGAGAGAGCGUGUCAGAGGUCAGCCAACAGCAGGAGAGUCACCGGAUACCUCACAGCUGUUCCCAGAGGCUAAGGAACUUUGUCUCGAAGAUGCCCCUGGUCUUUAAUGUCUCAGAGAUUUGUCCCCGGAAGAGGAAGCCACGCCUGGUCAGAUCAAUCAAAAUCUGCCUGACGAUCUCUCCCAGCAGGCGUUACUGCCCGUACCUGAGAGGACACACAGCCACAGUCCAUCAUUAUCAAAAAACGGUCAUCAUCGUCCCCACUGUGUCGUUCACUAUGGCAACCACAUCCAGCUCAAACUCCUGUGAAAACAAACAGCAAGAAAAUGAUUCACAGGUUUUCAUUGAACAUUAAAAUGUUCAAGUCCACAUUUUAUAUCCAGCACUUGUUGGUGAAUGGGUGUGUUGACAGACGGAUUAAUAUCAAGCCUGGCAAGUUUUCAAACGACAAACUGAGCACAAUGCGGUUCACUCACAUUCUUAGCCAGGCUACACAAUAAAAUACACAAGCCGUUUCAGAGAGCUGCAAAAUUCAGGAGCUCUGCCAAACACACAAAAAAAGAGUUUCACCGCUGUGCUAAUUCUGAGCUUAAAUAAGAUCCCCACCACUGCAGACACAGACACACACUCCUCCACAAUAUCUGAAAGUAGAUAUUCCAGGUGUUAUGACAUGCUAGUACAACAAUAAUCACACACUGCUCCAGUCCUGCACUGCUUUACCUGCCAGUUAAUGAUUUACACUUAAUACUUACUGGAUUCUCCAUCUAAAAGGGUGAAAUCAAUGUAAGAAACUCAAAAGUGAUGACAUAUGAAUAAACAAAACUUGUUGAACAUAAAACAGAUUCAUCAUAUAGAUAUAUAUAUAUAUACAUACAUACACAGACAGUAGCACAGUAGGGGGUAGGGUUAAGUGGCUUUAUGCUGGAACUGCAAAAUUGCAGGUCAGUCCAAAGGUGUCAGUAAUUACGGUCUUAUGAGUGU